CUUCCUUCUGGUGGGUUCGCGGUCCGGCUGGCUCAGGAGCGAAGCUGCAGACCUUCACGGAACUUGUGAGUUAUGGCAAAAGAUAUUAUGACUCCCAUGCUGCGGAUGAAGAAGUUGAUGCCCGUGACAGGUAAUCCCCUUCAGUGACAGCAGAGUGACCCAGGCCACCUUCUUUGAGGAUUUCGGAGCUGCAGCCCACAGCCAGGGCCAUGGUGGACUCAGCUCUACACCCCGUGCCCAUGAGUCUCUGCGACUAACGAUUUCCCCAGACGCUCCCAGGUUCCUCCUGAUCUGCAGCAUUGCCGUCCCUGCCGCUGACCAGGAAGCCCUCUGUGCUCCCAUAGCCCCUUCAGAAACAUGUGACCUCCUGAGUCCUAAGUCUUCAGCAGAAACAGCAGCUGCCCCAUAGCUCGAGUGGCAGCAGGACCCUCUCUGCCCUGGUCUCCACUCAGUGCUGGAAGCCUGGCUCACAUUCUCUCUACUCCCAUCAGCCUGAUAUCUUCAAGCAAGGAUUUCUUGGGGUUUAUCUCACCAGAUGCAAUCAACUCAAAU
rnacentral:lncRNA from 1 species